GAUGCUAGUUUAGAUCCAUUUUCCAUAUGAGGAGGUGGGAUGUAAUUAAUUAGCUGUUCUUUUGAUUUCUAAGUAUCGCAUGUACAUUGCACAAGGGCAUGUACUUUCGACAGAGGCUAGAAAAAGGAAAUAAAAUACAAGCUGCACCACUUAAGUCUUCUUGGUACAAAUGAUGGAUCAGCAGGGGAUUAUCAUGUGUAUUUUAUUGCUACCAAUGCUGAUUGAGUCACUUGAGUGUUAAUACAAACCUAGAAAAAAAAGUCUGGAUGGAAUCACAGUAACAGUGUUUAAAGUGUUUAUUUCAGUCAUAAUUGCACUGUUUUUAUAUAAAGCCUUUGAUCUGUAGGUUGAAAAGAGGCAAAGCCAGUAGUCCACAGUAGAAGCAACCGAAUAAACUUCUCUGUAAAGUUUAAGAAAAAAAAAAAAAAAGCAAGUCCACAGUCAGAUAUGCACUUGGACAUACACAGCAGGGAGAUGAAAUCCAGAUUCCAGCAAACCAAAAAACACAGCUCAUUGCCAUCCCAACUAAUGACGUCCCUCUUCUGAGGACAUGGCAGAGCUGGGUUGCUGCCGAGCUGUUCACGGCCUUGCCUGCACCCAGGGAGCACCCAAAACCGAAAGUGCAAAGGGUUUACUGGGCAUGCACGUGUCUGGGGGAGCCCCGCGACACACUGCGUGAGUAGGGGGGGUGUUGAAACAUCUGAUGAUUUAGAGCAUUUCCUUCAGCAUCUCAUUUCCAUUAAUGAAACUACUGGCAACAAGGUAGUCCAUUUUUAUUUUCAUUUGGUUUGAAUUUCUAAAAAGCAUAAUUUCAGCGAUUUUUCUCUGUUCUUCCCCACACACACAAAAAUUGCUUUAGACAGGAAGAAUUUUCUAAAUUGAGUUAGACUCGA
rnacentral:lncRNA from 1 species